rnacentral:rRNA from 1 species
UACGUAGGUGGCAAGCGUUGUCCGGAUUUAUUGGGCGUAAAGGGCGCGUAGGCGGCUUUGCGUGUCUUUCGUGAAAUCCCUCGGCUCAACUGAGGACGUGCGGAAGAAACUGCAGGGCUGGAGUCCGGGAGAGGAGGGUGGAAUUCCCAGUGUAGCGGUGAAAUGCGUAGAUAUUGGGAGGAACACCGGUGGCGAAGGCGGCCCUCUGGACCGGUACUGACGCUGAUGCGCGAAAGCGUGGGGAGCAAACGGG